rnacentral:lncRNA from 1 species
CCUGGCCCAGGAAGCUAAGCCUUCCAUAUUCAUCAUUUAAUUUACCCAGUUUGAAUGCCUGCCCAUCUCCGAAAAUGGCGCUGUUCAGAUCUGCUUAUUUGCAGCUUAGCAUCCUCUGUAGCAUUCAACAUUGUAAAGGCUGAAAUAUAGAAGUCGAAAUGUUCUGUAUCAGGAUAGGCCAGGAUCUUCCAUGAUAACAAACAACCACCAAGUCUUAUGGCUUAAAAGAAUACCAUUUAUUUCUCACUCAUACUGCAUCUCCAUCUCUGCCAUGCUGGGAGUUCUGUCUCCCGUUGUCCUUAGGGACCAAGGCCAAUAGGGCAGUCACUAUCUAGAGCAGGGCUGGCCGCCAUGAUGGAGGAAAAGUGGGGAAGGUAAAUCAUGCCUUGGUCCCUAACGCUUCUGCCCCAGGGGGAUGGAAACUGUUUGGAUCAAAGCAAGUCACAGGGCUACACCAAGCAUCAAGGAAGUGAGGAGGGCAAUUUUACCAUGUGCCCAGAAGUACCGGAAAUAUUUGAUUGCAGCACUAAUGCCUGCCAUGGACAGUGGGAUAACAAGACAGACAGCACUUGUCAUUUCUAGAAUUGCCCUCAUUACAAGAAAUAGGCAUUUCGUUUUCCCUUCUUUAGAAUAUCUUUGUCCAUUCCACAAGUCUGCCUUGAGGGCUCACCAUGCAAAGAACUAUAAUGUACAGUGUUGUGUUAAGGCAUACAGGGAAAAAAAUAGGAUCUUGCUCAGUUAUUCUGAACCUGAAAUUGCAAUUUUAUUUCUCAAAGGGCAUAGAUUUGAUUUUACUUAUUCAGUCCAUCACUUGUUCAGCAAAUAAAUACUGAACACUGUGUUUUGCUCUGAUGACAACCAGUUCUCUCAUUCUCCAGCACCAACUGGGCAUCCAACAGUUUUGUUCAGUUCUGACAAUACCUAAAGAUGGAACAGACAUCAUAGGUCAAGGGCUCAGUCCUGCAAGACAGCCCCACCCCCGCCUCCAGAUACCAGCUGCAAAUGGGGUGCCCAGGCUACACAUACUUCUGUGUAGUCAGCUUCACCUUGGAGGUUUGCACAAUCCCCACCUUUGGGUCAGUAGUUUGCUAGAGUGACUCACAGAACACAAGCCAAUACUUUACUUGAUGAUUUUCAGUUUAUUUUAAAGGACUCAACUCAGGGACAGCCGAAUGGAAGAGAUGCAGAGGGCAAGGAUGGGAGAGGGAGGGUGCAGAGCUUCCAUUCCAUUCCCUUUCUGGGCUUCUUACCCUCCAGUACAUUGAUGUGUUUGCUAUCUGGAAGUCCCUCGCACUCUUUCAUUUAGGGAUUUUAUGGAGGUUUCAUUAUGUUGACAUGACUGAUGAAAUUAUUGGCCAUUGGUGAUUGGACUCAAUCUUUAGCCCCUGUCCCCAGGCUGGAGGUUGGAGGCAGAAGUGAGAAUUCUAACCCUUUAAUCUAAUAGUUUUUCUGGCAACCAGCUCCCAUCCUGAAGUUCUCUAGCACUAGCACCUCCUCCCCCAUGAGUCAUUUUAUUAGCAUACAAAACAAAUAAUAAAUUCUAGGGGUUUUAGGCACUCUGUGCUAGAAAACUGGGAGAAAGACCACAUAUUUAUUUAUUUUUUUAUCAUAUCACAAACACCUGUGUGCCAAGCUGCGUGCAAGGCACUGGGGGUACAGUGAUGAUGGAAUAGACAGUCCCUGUUCUGGUGGACUUCACAUUAGGCAAACUUAUUGAAGGGGAGAUCAGCCUAAAGAAGUGUCAGUGAAAGCUGAAAGCAGAAAUAAAUAAAACAUAACCUCUAUUCUCAUAAGCAUUUACCUCCAUAUGUGAAUAAGAAGUUAACUGGGAGCGAGGAGAUGCUGGGUGUGGGAUAGAGAUGAAAAUGGGAGAAGUUAACACUGAAUUUCUUAUGACCUGAAUCACUUUUAAUCCCAUCUGUUAGACGUGGUCUAAGGUUGGCACAUUUUUCUUAUCAAAGCACAGACACGUGCUGGAUGCAGAGGCCAGGAAAGUAUAGCCGAAUAGAGAAGAUGCUUUUAAAUACCAACCCAGAGCAAUCUAGGUUAUACAGUUUAUGCAAGAUAAUAUAUGCAUAUACAGAUACAGAUUAAUGAACACAUGAAUUGAUAAGAGCUUAAAAAAUAUAAAUUAAUAGAUGAUUAGGUAUAAAAUAGCUAUAUAGAGAGCCUUAUUAAAAUGCUUACAAGAGUUUUGAAUUUAGGAGAUUUGCAGUAUGAAUUCUUACGGAAAUCUUAAAGCUUCCUGUGAGAACUACUUUAAAAAAAAAUCUUGAAAAGACAUACUUUUCAGAAUGCUCACAUCUUGUCACUUUUGUUCUGAUUCUUCUUGCCCUUUUUGACUUCUUUACAUCUCUAAAUAUGAAGUUAUUCAUUUAGUUCUGCUGCAGUUAUAACCAUGACGGUUUUACUAAAAUUGAUCUAUUCACAAUUAAUUUUUCUCUGUGACCACAUAAUUAAGACAUGUGGAGGUUUUCUUUGAGCUUGAUAAGGAAGAGCAUGUUUAGGAUAUUUCACUGCCCUGUAGGGGUAUUUUAACUUUUUGGGUAAACCCCUCCCUGUUAUAAAACAUUAAUAGUUAUAAUGAGGUUGGAUGAAAUUGGAUCAAACUUGUGAGUAAAAGAAGAUGCCCCAAUCUGUGGUUCAAACAUUCCAAACUUUCCAGAAUACAAGCAGAUAUAGAAUCAUUUUCCUCAAGAUCUUAUGUUGAAUUUUUUGCAUCAUCAGUGUAGUUUCUAAAACAUUGGUUCCAUUUUUGAGGCCAAGAUCACAAAACAGAAGAAAAAAAGUCAGACUAAGGUAAAGAAGGCUAUGUUUGGGAGUUCCCACUGUGGCACAGCAGAUUAAGGAUCUGGCAUUGUCUCCACAGUGGCUUACGUUGCUGCUGAGGUACAGGUUUGAUCCCCAGCCUGGAGCAGUGGGUUAAGGAUCCAGCAUUGCUGCAGCCAUGGAAUAGAGAUCAGCUGCAGCUCGGAUUCGAUUCCUGGCCUGGGAACUUCCUGAUGCUGCAG